GACGGGGGAUGCAAGCGUUAUCCGGAAUCACUGGGCGUAAAGCGUCUGUAGGUGGUGAUGCAAGUCACUGGUGCAAAACUCUGGCUCAACCGGAGGAAAGCCAGUGAAACUGCAUGACUAGAGUGUGGGAGAGGUAGAAGGAAUUCCCUGAGUAGCGGUGAAAAGCGUAGAUACGGGGAAGAACACCGGAGUCGAAAGCGUUCUACUGGAACACAACUGACACUGAGAGACGAAAGCUAGGGGAGCGAAUCGG
rnacentral:rRNA from 1 species